rnacentral:rRNA from 1 species
UACGGAGGGUGCGAGCGUUGUCCGGAAUCACUGGGCGUAAAGCGCACGUAGGCGGCUUUCUAAGUCGGGGGUGAAAUCCUGGAGCUCAACUCCAGAACUGCCUUCGAUACUGGAGAGCUUGAGUCCGGGAGAGGUGAGUGGAACUGCGAGUGUAGAGGUGAAAUUCGUAGAUAUUCGGAAGAACACCAGUGGCGAAGGCGACUUACUGGACACAUAUUGACGCUGAGGUGCGAAAGCGUGGGGAGCAAACAGG